CCCGACUGCUAUCAGAGUGGGACUAAGCCAUGCGAGUUACGUAGUAAUACGUGGCAUACGGCUCAGUAACACGUAGUCAACAUGCCCAGAGGACGUGGAUAACCUCGGGAAACUGAGGAUAAACCGCGAUAAGUCAUGAUUCCUGGAAUGGUUCAUGGCUGAAAUCUAUAUGGCCUUUGGAUUGGACUGCGGCCGAUCAGGCUGUUGGUGAGGUAAUGGCCCACCAAACCUGUUACCGGUACGGGCUCUGAGAGGAGGAGCCCGGAGAUGGGCACUGAGACAAGGGCCCAGGCCCUAUGGGGCGCAGCAGGCGCGAAACCUCUGCAAUAGGCGAAAGCUUGACAGGGUUACUCUGAGUGAUUUCCGUUAAGGAGAUCUUUUGACACCUCUAAAAAUGGUGUAGAAUAAGGGGCGGGCAAGUCUGGUGUCAGCCGCCGCGGUAAUACCAGCACCCCGAGUGGUCGGGACGAUUAUUGGGCCUAAAGCAUCCGUAGCCGGUCUACAAGUCUUCCGUUAAAUCCACCUGCUCACAGAUGGGCUGCGGAAAAUACUAUAGGGCUAGGAGCGGGAAAGCAACGGUACUCAUGGGUAGGGUUAAAUCCUCUGAUCAUGAAAACCCC
rnacentral:rRNA from 1 species